AAAUCGUCAAAUGUCAAAGAUUCGUCAACGACUUUUUUCAAAAGUUGUAGAUGUUUCCUGUUUUCUAUUUGUUUUGUAAAGUUUGUUUACGACUUAACGUCCUCGAUACGUUUGAUAAUUGUUCACUGUAUCGACAACAAAGUGGAAAACUGCAAUGGCUUCGCAAAAUUCAUACGCUGACGACUGCCUAAAAAGUCUACUCAGGAUAGCGGAAGACAUACCCUCAGGGGUCAGUGAAGAACGUUUGACGUCCAUUCUUCAAGUGAAAUCGUCACAAGAGCUUCUUGGAUCCCUCAACAAUAUAAUUUCUUCUGCUUGCAAGCAACCUUUACAACGGUUAUGGGAUGAAUAUCAAGUCGGAGUUAAAUUGACCCAUCUUAAAGAACUCGAACGCAAUUCACCACCUAAUGAAGCAUGAUUGCAUUUCAGGAGACCCAUCACUGGUAAAGUGGAUAUCAAUCCUUUUAUUGUAGACAGCCUUUUGAAGCAGAAAAUGGAACUGAAGAAAGAAAUUGAAUUGUUGAAGAAGGAAUCUGAAGCUAUCAAACCCCCGCUGAAAAAUUUUCAAGACCGAACUAGAUGUCAAAUUGAAGAAAUGGAUAAUAUAGAAAAAGCAUAUAAGGAGAAGGUAACAAAAUCAGAAGGAAUUCCGUGAUAUAUAUGGGACUGCUUUAUGUUGACACAAAACUGUUCAUUGAUUUUACUAAUGUUUUUUAACCUUGUAAAUAUAAUAUAAAGUAUUUGAAGUA